rnacentral:rRNA from 1 species
AACGCGAAGAACCUUACCUACUCUUGACAUCCACGGAACCUGGUAGAGAUAUCGGGGUGCCUUCGGGAACCGUGAGACAGGUGCUGCAUGGCUGUCGUCAGCUCGUGUCGUGAGAUGUUGGGUUAAGUCCCGUAACGAGCGCAACCCUUAUCCUUAGUUGCCAUCAGGUAAAGCUGGGAACUCUAGGGAGACUGCCGGUGAUAAGCCGGAGGAAGGUGGGGACGACGUCAAGUCAUCAUGGCCCUUACGAGUAGGGCUACACACGUGCUACAAUGGCCGGUACAAAGGGAAGCAAAGCCGCGAGGUGGAGCGAAUCUCGAUAAAGCCGGUCGUAGUCCGGAUUGGAGUCUGCAACUCGACUCCAUGAAGUUGGAAUCGCUAGUAAUCGCGGAUCAGAACGCCGCGGUGAAUACGUUCCCGGGCCUUGUACACACCGCGAGC